rnacentral:rRNA from 1 species
CAAGGCUUGACAUAUACAGGAAUAUGGCAGAGAUGUCAUAGCCGCAAGGUCUGUAUACAGGUGGUGCAUGGUUGUCGUCAGCUCGUGUCGUGAGAUGUUGGGUUAAGUCCCGCAACGAGCGCAACCCUCGUUCUGUGUUGCCAGCAUUUAGUUGGGGACUCACAGGAGACUGCCGGGGUUAACUCGGAGGAAGGUGGGGAUGACGUCAAAUCAUCAUGCCCCUUAUGUCUUGGGCUGCACGCAUGCUACAAUGGCUGGUACAAACGGCUGCGAUACCGCAAGGUGGAGCGAAUCCGAUAAAGCCAGUCUCAGUUCGGAUUGGGGUCUGCAACUCGACCCCAUGAAGUCGGAGUUGCUAGUAAUCGUAGAUCAGCAACG